rnacentral:lncRNA from 1 species
AGCAACCGAAUCAACCUACAACUUUAAUAUGCAUAUAUUUCGUCACUAUGGUGCAAAUUUAAGGAUGCGUUUGGUAUAGAUAGCUCGAGCUUCAGCUUCUUGUAACAAACAACAGUGUUUACAACUAUAGCGAGGAGCUACUCCGAGUCACAAGCUAAGGUGUCAAAUAAACUAAUAAUGCUAUAAUUUUGAGCUCUACCAUGCUACUACAGAUGAGGAGCUAUAGAGCCGAAUGAAUCUAUACUAUCAGACGUGUCCCGAAUGCAUUCCAACGGAUCAGUCGAACCGUAAAUUUGCCCACAAAACUGAAAAUAAAACCAGCUGCUAGCUAGGUUUCACCGAUUCGUGUGCGCUGUUUGGGUCUCCUCCAUUUUCAUUUUUCGAAAAAGAAAGGAAAUGCAAGACACGUUUUUGUCUAUAUCCCGGCCUGGACACUGGAGCAAUAAACGUGUUGUCGUCCCUUGUUCCGUUGCGUGGCAAAAUCGCGAAUAAUAAUAUAUACUACUGGUAUACUAGUAUUCCAUUCCCACCUGCAGUACGUGGGCGGGCUGUGUGGCAUCUAUCUAUGCCGUCCCAUAUCCAUGCUCGUGAACCUGUGGUGUGUGCAGGUCGUGGGCCGGUGCGGCCGCGCGUGCCUGAUUGCCUGCUGCUGCUGCUGCUCCCAUCUUCUCGGCCGGGCUGUUUGACGCCAGCCAAUUAAUGGCACAAUUACAAGUGCCAAGUAGGAUCUCGUCUCGCAUGCAUGUUGUUUGGCUGUUGGACAGACAGGAUCACAGGAGCAUUCAACACACAGUGUCUUCAUGCAUGUUACCAAUGUCAAAUCGCAUCGCAUCGCGUCCGGUGUGUUUAGUCGUGCAUGGUCAAAUCAAAUCUCAUCCCCCCGUAGCCAAUGCCCAUGCCGCCUUGCGGUGUGUCGAUCCUGUGAACUUGACGAUGCCUGCCGGGUGCCGCGCGCGCACGCCAUCUUGGGCCUUGUUUACUUCCAAAAUUUUUUACAAAAUAUAAAUAGUAGUACUUUUAUUUGUAUUUAACAAAUAUUGUUCAAUUAUAGACUAACUAGACUCAAAAGAUUCGUCUCGUCAAUUCUGGCUAAAUUGUGCAAUUAGUUUUUAUUUUCAUCUAUAUUUAAUACUCAAUGCAUACGUCUAAAGAUUCGAUGUGACGGGGAAUCUGAAAAAUUUUACAAAAUUUUUGGAGAACUAAACAAGGCCUUGCUGUGAAUUGCAAUUCCCCACUCUGCAGCUGUUGCAAUUCCCCUUCUUCGACUUUCAAAAUUACUGUCUUAGGGUCUGUUUAGUUUUCCCAACCAUACUAAGGCCUUGUUUAGUUCCAAAAAAUUUUAAUGAUGAAUGCUCUGGUCUUGUUUCGUUUGUAUUUGACAAAUAUUAUCCAAUUAUGUACUAACUAGAUUUAAAAGAUUCGUCUCGUUAAUUCCGACCAAACUGUGGAAUUAGUUUUUAUUUUCGUCUAUAUUUAAUGCUUCAUGCAUGCGUCUAAAGAUUUGAUGUGACGGGAAAUCUGAAAAAUUUUGCAAAUAUUUUUAGGAACUAAACAGGCCUUAGUAUAUAUGUAAUCUAUAAUAGAUGUGAUGUUCUAUAAUAUAUUUAAUGAUGUUUUAUGAUGUAUUUAGUGAUGUUAAUGUUUUAUAAAUAUAUUUACGAUAUUUAAAAAGUAACCCUUUGAUAUUAUUUGAAAUUUUUCUCCAUUUUGUGUUUUUAUUUUUUUCUUAUGCUUUUUACUCUAGAUUUUAUUAUUAUUUUUAUCUAUGCCAUGUAUUUAUGUAUUUUUAUGUAUAUUGUAAUAUCAUUUUCAUAAAUCUAAAACCAAAAUACUAUUCUUCUAAAUCGAUAACAUUUUUUUACAAAGACAGAACAUUGUAACCUAGAAUAUUGUCUCUACUUAAUAAAAGAAAAUAUUUUAUCUUUAUACGAUAAAUAUUCAUUAAUAAAAUUUUAUCUAAAUAUAUCCAUGUGUGAUCUUGUUUUGAAGGAUUUGUUAUAAGAAAUUUAAUGGUGCAAUCGAAAUUUAAUUUAUAUCUUUGGUUUAUGAUUUAUGACUUUUUUAAUUCGUUAAAAUAAUUUUGCAUGUAGAGGUGAGUGGGGCCUAGGUUGAUGGGAUAGCGUGUCAUCGCGCAGUAAAAAAGACCACGAAAGGAAUGAGAGUUUUGGACGGGUCCUCUCCAUAAUUUUUAGUUGUAGAAAUAAAUAUUUAUUAAUAAAAGUUUAUCUAAAUAUAUCCACGUGUGAUCUUGUUUUAAAGGAUUUGUUAUAAGAAAUUUAAUGAUGCAAUCAAAAUUUAAUUUAUAUCUUCGGUUUAAGAGUUAUGAAUUUUUUUAAUUCGCUAAAACAAUUUUGCAUGCAUGGGUGAGUGGGGCCUGAGUUGAUGGGAUAACCUAUCAUGACAUAGUAAAAAGGGGAGUUGUGGCUUCACCAUAGAUGUAGUAGACGGGUCCUCUCCAUAAUUUUUAGUUGUAGAGAUUUAUGGAUGUGAGUUAAAAACAGCUAUAGUAAAAAUACUCUCUCCGUUCUAUUUUAUCUAGCUAGCACAAGUUAGAAUAACACAAUCUUCUAGAUUACAUUGUAACCAUUUAUUUAUUUUAGAUUAUAUUAUUUAAGUUUAUAAACUUAUAAUCAUUGGAUAAUAUAAUUAAUUACAAAUUUAAUCAUAUAAAUUUUGUAUUAUACAAUAUUUAAACAUCAUUAGCAUAAUUAUUAGUUAAAGUUUUUAAAGUUGAAAUCUUGAUAUACAUGUGUGCUACAUAAAAUGGAAAUGAGGUAGUAGAAGCUAGAGUCAGAGCUCUAAUUUAAUAUAGGCCCCAAUUCACAAGGUAGCAAAACAAAAUUUAUACCGCCAGUAAUAUCACUAUGCUCCAAAAUACUAUAGGACUUAAGCUUUGUUCUAACACAUCUGUAACAACAUCUAAAAAAUAUUAAAUUCUCCAUGAAAUAUACCUUAAUAGGGCAUCUAUCUGAACUUGUAAUACAUAUUAUAAUAAGUUUCCAUUAAAUUUAAUCAAUGUACAAUCUUUUUACUUAAAAUAAAGUAAAGGACCUUGUAAUUUGUAACAAAUGGGUAGAGCGCAGUGAAAAAAGUUUUUUAGAGAGAGAAGCCGAAAUCACUCAAGUGGACACAUACAGAAAUUAUUUGCCAUUUGAAUUAAACUAGCACUGACAAUAUCUAUUUUUAUUGAUAUAGGGUGUGUUUAGAUCCAUUUUUUUAGAUUUUGAUAUUGUAGACUUUUCGUUUGUAUUUGGCAAACAGUGUUCAAUUAUGGACUAACUAGACUCAAAAGAUUCUUCUCACGAUUUACAGACAAAUUGUGCAAAUAGUUAUUCUUUUUAUUUAUAUUUAAUGUUUCAUACAUGUGUCGUAAGAUUCGAUGUGAUAGGGAAUCUUGUAAACUUUUUAAAUUUUGAAGAGAUCUAACCAGGCCCUAAGAAAUAUAAGGCCAUCAUUAGUGGAACUUUUAUGACCUAGUUUCUAACACAUCCAUAUUUUGAAAACAGUGGAGAAGAGUUUCAUGAGAAUGAAACUCUUUUUAGAGCAAGUUUAAUAAUACAACUCAUUUGCUGGCUGUAAGGUUUCAUGUAGCCUUCUCCGAACUCAUCCAUACAAUAGUUAGCUAUUCACUAUUAAUACAUGACCCACUUAUCUCUCUCACAAAGUUUCUUGGUUCCUGUGCCUAAGCUGGCUGUAAGCUUACAGCCUGCUUCUCCUCUUUUCUCCCUUCUCUCCUCCACCUCAGCAUUUAGCCGGCCUACAGCCCACUAUAAUACUUGCUCUUACUUUUAUAAAACUUUUAUCAUAUCUUUUUAUUAAUAUAGUGUCAUAUUAAUAUAUUUAAUAUGCAUGAAACUCUAUCGAGACUCGUCUAAGCAGGUAAACCCCAGGCUGGCUGCAGGAAACAACUUCAUUCUUCUUCCCUCUCUCUUGGAGAAGUUGAUGGCAGCAACUCCUCUUGUUCUUCUCUCUCUAACGUUAAUUAAUGGCAGCAACUAGCUUUCUUUUUUUUAUUAGUCUAUCUAUUUUAGUUGUUCAUUCAGUGGAGUUGUCACCGCGCAGGCUAGCUAAUAGCUAAUUAAACUGCCGCGUUAAACAGGCUUCCUCCAUCAUGUCCUUGAAAAGUUCGUCUAGUUUACUUGUGCAUUGAUGACAAUUUGUUAAAUUUCCUCGACGAUCGGGCCUUGUUUAGUUAAGGUCAGUCUCAAUGCAUAUUUUAUGGGAGUGUCAUGUACAUUAAAUAGAGUGCCACAUAAACAAAAUUGCUGACUUGGCAGGGUCAUUAAAUGAAGGAGUUUCAUCAGAUGAGAGAUGAGUUUCAUCCCCAUGAAACUCAUAUGGCUCGGUUACCUAGUUUAUAGUCUUGGUAACUGUGUCAUGAAACUAUGCAUUGAGAGUGGCCUAACACAAAAAACCAACAAGUUUUUAAAAUUCUCCAUCACAUCGAAUCUUGCGGCACAUGCAUAAAACAUUAAAUAUAGACUAAAACAAAAACUAAUUGCAUAGUUUGUCUGUAAAUCAUGAGAUGAAUCUUUUGAACCUACUUAGUCCAUGAUUGAACAAUAAUUGUCAAAUAAAAAUAAAAAUACUACAAUACUAAAAAUCAAAAAAAAAAUGGAACUAAACAAAGCCUAGAUAUCCAGGCAAGUAUGGGAGUAGUCUUUUAUUUGCUCCCCAGCUUGGAUACCAAAUCAAAUCCACCACAAAAGAAUUCCAACUCUAGGGUUUAGGGUUUAUGCCCAUCCUCCUUUACAAUCCCUAUGAAAUUCUUGCGUUGCCACAAAAAUUUUAAAACGACAUUCAGAUACUUUUUGAGAUAGAUGGAUUUACUAGAAGGGAAUUGUUCCACCGAUUCCAAGAAGACGAGGAUUCACAUUAUUCUAGUAUAUGUAAUAAUACUCACGUCUGGUUUAGAUGACGAAAUUUUUUUGAUUUUGAGUACUAUAGCAUU